rnacentral:rRNA from 1 species
GAUGAACGCUAGCGAUAGGCCUAACACAUGCAAGUCGAGGGGCAUCACAUGAAGUAGCAAUACGGAUGGUGGCGACCGGCGCACGGGUGAGUAACACGUAUGCAACCUGCCUUCAACAAGGGGAUAACCCGUUGAAAGACGGACUAAUACCCUAUAACACAGGGGUCCCGCAUGGGAAUAUUUGUUAAAGGACAACCGGUUGAAGAUGGGCAUGCGUUCCAUUAGCUAGUUGGCGGGGUAACGGCCCACCAAGGCAACGAUGGAUAGGGGAACUGAGAGGUUUAUCCCCCACACUGGUACUGAGACACGGACCAGACUCCUACGGGAGGCAGCAGUGAGGAAUAUUGGUCAAUGGACGCAAGUCUGAACCAGCCACGUCGCGUGAAGGAAGACGGCCCUACGGGUUGUAAACUCUUUUAUACGGGAAUAAAGUGCCCCACGCGUGGGGUUUUGCAUGUACCGUAUG